CAGGAUAAACGCUGGCGGUAUACGUAACACAUGCAAGUCGAACGCAUCCUUCACAAGAUGAGUGGCGGACGGGUGAGUAACGCGUGAGAAUCUGCCUUCAGGACUGGGACAACCACUGGAAACGGUGGCUAAUACCAGAUAUGCAGUGAGUGAAAAGGUUUAUUCCGCCUGAAGAUGAGCUCGCGUCAGAUUAGCUAGUUGGUGAGGUAACGGCUUACCAAGGCAUCGAUCUGUAGCUGGUCUGAGAGGAUGACCAGCCACACUGGGACUGAGAGACGGCCCAGACUCCUACGGGAGGCAGCAGUGAGGAAUUUUCCGCAAUGGGCGCAAGCCUGACGGAGUAAUACCGCGUGCGGGAGGAAGGUCUAUUGACUGUAAACCGCUUUUAUUAAGAAAGAAUUCUGACGGUACUUAAUGAAUAAGCCUCGGCUAACUCCGUGCCAGCAGCCGCGGUAAUACGGAGGAGGCAAGCGUUAUCCGGAAUUAUUGGGCGUAAAGCGUCCGUAGGUGGUUUUGCAAGUCGGCUGUCAAAGCCCGUGGCUCAACCACGGAAAGGCAGUGGAAACUACAAGACUGGAGUGCAGUAGGGGCAGAGGGA
rnacentral:rRNA from 1 species